GAUGAACGCUGGCGGCGUGCCUAAUACAUGCAAGUCGAGCGAACAGACGAGGAGCUUGCUCCUCUGACGUUAGCGGCGGACGGGUGAGUAACACGUGGAUAACCUACCUAUAAGACUGGUAUAAUUUCGGGAAACCGGAUCUAAUACCGGAUAAUAUAUUGAACCGCAUGGUUCAAUAGUGAAAGACGGUUUUGCUGUCACUUAUAGAUGGAUCCGCGCCGCAUUAGCUAGUUGGUAAGGUAACGGCUUACCAAGGCAACGAUGCGUAGCCGACCUGAGAGGGUGAUCGGCCACCCUGGAACUGAGACACGGUCCAGACUCCUACGGGAGGCAGCAGUAGGGAAUCUUCCGCAAUGGGCGAAAGCCUGACGGAGCAACGCCGCGUGAGUGAUGAAGGUCUUCGGAUCGUAAAACUCUGUUAUUAGGGAAGAACAAAUGUGUAAGUAACUAUGCACGUCUUGACGGUACCUAAUCAGAAAGCCCCGGCUAACUACGUG
rnacentral:rRNA from 1 species